GGUCCUCUAACAGGGUGGGCAGGUUUCUCGGCCUGCUCAGUGAAGUCCAUUUAAGACAUACGAUUUUGGCUGAGAUGUAUUCCUGGGAGGUUUACUGGGAUGGAGACGGGAGCUCAUGUGGUGAGGGAUGAGGAAAGAGAAGAGUUGCAUGCCUUUUUCCGGGACCUUUAGCCAAGUUCUGGUGAAAUCUUGAAGUAGACGCUGCACGUGUUUGGCUUGUGCUCUCACCGCUCCUUCGUGCCCUGGUUGUCGGGGCUCUGCGCCGCCCCCACGGUCACUAAGGGUGAUGUUGUUGGGAAGGACGUCGAGAGGGUUCUUACCUUGGAUAACGGGCAGGUCCCAGGCUGAGGCUCUUCCUACCGAGAUCCUAGGAUCAGUGGGCCCGAGUGGAGGACAAAGAAGAGCCUGAGUAAAGCCGGCCAGGAUGAUCAAAUAGCCCUUCAUGAAACAAGACCAACCUAGAAGAGGAAACCAUGGCACUUCCCAUUUGUUUGUUAUUCUAAUGGAUCCCUUCUUGCGCACAAGAGACCGACCCCCGAUUAUACAAACCCACCAUCUACAAACUGUCCUUAUUCCCAGUGUCUUCCUGUUGGAGGUUUUCAAUCCCAAAAGAAGUUCCUCAGCCUAAGAAGAGAAGUCUGCACCUGCACCAGAAGGCUUACACAUUCGACUGCUUGAAGAAAGAGGGACGAACAAAAUAAUCUGUAGAAGAUCUCUUUCACCCUUAGACUCUCUGAUUCUGAAAAUCAGAGUGUGUGGAUAAAUUACCAGAAGCUCCUUCUUCUUUUCCUUCCUGAAGUGUGUGGAUAAAUCACCAGAAGCUCUCUGGAUCCACAGCUCCGUGCACAGGAAUUUGCCAUGCGUGUGCAUCCCCAAUGCAGUAGACUUUUCUAUACGCUACUUCUAAUCCGAACAACAUCUCAACGAGAGGUGGAUUCUUACUUCCAAUCUACAGAUGAAAAAACAGAGGUUCAGAGAAGUGAACUCAAUUGCCCAGAACACACUGCUAAUAAGUGAAUGAGACAGAUUAUUUAUUCACUUAAUGAACAUACUAGGUGAUGCAUUAAGCUCUGGAGAAAAAAAGGAUGACUAAAAUGUGUUGGUUCUGGCCAACAAGAAAUUCGGGGCAGGAGAAGAAGACAGCAAUUACCCAAUAAUACGGGCUUAAAGGGGACCAGGAGAUAGCUGUGCCCAAGGCUUUUGACUCCACCGAGGGAAAGUCAGUGCACCGCCCCGAGCUUCCUGACUGCCCCGCAGCGUCUUAGAAGUAGGCCAAAGAUCACCAGGGAACAGUGGCUCCUGGGUUCAGUGCCACAAAGCGAGCUGUGAUGAGUCAGAAUGAAGCAACAGUUGCAUACACCGACAGGUCCAGUUGGCAGCAGGAGAUUAUCUAGCGUGUCUAAUAGAACAACAAGUCACGUCCCGUGGCUCCAGGUCGGCUCUUCUACAGCAUACCAGAAUCAACCACAAAGCCCUUGCCUCCAACCUCACCCAAGUCAAGCGUGGAGGUGGGGCUGCUCUCUGUCCUCGGGGGAGCUGGAAUCUAUGACCAAAUGGGUAUGUUCUUUCUUGAUUUCUCCGGGGUUCCCCAGAGAGGUGGCAUUCCUGGAUGACGGGGUACAGAGAGCUCUGAAAUUCACUUUUCCAUGAAGCAACAUAAGCUCAAAUCUAAGAAAGAAUGGUCCAGCUGGGAGUUGUCGGAAUAUUGGCGGAAUUUCCCUUCUUGCGAUUAAUUCAUUCAUCUGGGAUAGAAAAGGCAUCUCUUGGGGAUGAUUUAGGUCAGCAGUGUCCAACCGCUUUCAGGAUGGGGAGCACAUUUUAAUGUCAAAAAAUUUAUAGACCUGCAGAUAAAGAUACUUACAUUUGAGAAAUGCAUGGGUGGAGCAAAUGCUUAAUAGUAGAGGCUAUCACCUUUGAAGGAAUUUGAAGGCUGGUAAUCACAGUCUUUUUUUUAAAUAAUAAAUUUAUUUUUUAUUGGUGUUCAAUUUGCCAACAUACAGAACAACACCCAGUGCUCAUCCCGUCAAGUGCCCCCCUCAGUGCCCGGCACCCAGUCACCCCCAUCCCCCACUAUUCUCCCCCUCCACCACCCCUAGUUCGUUUCCCAGAGUUAGGAGUCUUUAUGUUCUGUGUCCCUUUCUGAUAUUUCCCACACAUUUCUUCUCCCUUCCCCUCUAUUCCCUUUCACUAUUAUUUAUAUUCCCCAAAUGAAUGAGACCAUAUAAUGUUUGUCCUUCUCCGAUUGACUUACUUCACUCAGCAUAAUACCCUCCAGUUCCAUCCACGUCGAAGCAAAUGGUGGGUAUUUGUCAUUUCUGACAGCUGAGUAAUAUUCCAUUGUAGACAUAAACAAUCAAAAUCCUAGAGAAGAACACAGGCAACACCCUUUUUGAACUCGGCCACAGUAACUUCUUGCAAGAUACAUCCAGGAAGGCAAAAGAAACAAAAGCAAAAACGAACUAUUGGGACUUCAUCAAGAUAAGAAGCUUUUGCACAGCAAAGGAUACAGUCAACAAAACUCAAAGACAACCUACAGAAUGGGAGAAGAUAUUGGCAAAUGACGUAUCAGAUAAAGGGCUAGUGUCCAGGAUCUAUAAAGAACUUAUUAAACUCAACAGCAAAGAAACAAUCCAAUCAUAAAAUGGGCAAAGGACAUGAAGAGAAAUCUCACAGAGGAAGACUUAGACAUGGCCAACAUGCACAUGAGAAAAUGCUCCGCAUCACUUGCCAUCAGGGAAAUACAAAUCAAAACCACAAUGAGAUCCCACCUCACACCAGUGAGAAUGGGGAAAAUUAACAAGGCAGGAAACCACAAAUGUUGGAGAGGAUGCGGAGAAAAGGGAACCCUCUUACACUGUUGGAGGGAAUGUGAACUGGUACAGCCACUCUGGAAAACUGUGUGGAGGUUCCUCGAAGAGUUAAAAAUAGACCUGCCCUACGACCCAGCAAUUGCACUGUUGGGGAUUUACCCCAAAGAUUCAGAUACAGUGAAACGCCGGGACACCUGCACCCCGAUGUUUCUAGCAGCAAUGUCCACAGUCUUUUCUAUAUGCGAUCCCGAAGCUGACUUCCUGCUGUCACUCUGCGUUUCUGUGACUCUCUGUGUCUGUCUUCACCACUGGACUUGGAAGCUCCACGAGGACAGAGUUGGUCUGACUUGUUCACUAUUAUAUACUCUGCACGCAGUCUGGUUCCUGGCACAAAGUAGGCACCCUCUGUGCCUUAUUUGUAGAAUGAAUAAAUUAAUACAUUAGAAGUGUCAGAGUAGGGACGCCUGGGUGGCUCAGUGGGUUAAGCGUCUGCCUUCAGCUCAGGUCAUGAUCCCGGGGUCCUGAGAUCGAGCCCCCUGUAGGGCUCCGCAGCACCUGCUUCUCCCUCUCCCUCUGCCACUCCUGCUGCUUGUGCUCUCUUGCUUUUUCUCUCAAAUAAAUAAAUAAAA